UACGUAGGGGGCUAGCGUUGUCCGGAAUCAUUGGGCGUAAAGAGCGUGUAGGCGGCCCGGUAAGUCCGCUGUGAAAGUCCAGGGCUCAACCCUGGAAUGCCGGUGGAUACUGUCGGGCUCGAAUCCGGAAGAGGUGAGUGGAAUUCCUGGUGUAGCGGUGAAAUGCGCAGAUAUCAGGAGGAACACCAAUGGCGAAGGCAGCUCACUGGGACGGUAUUGACGCUGAGACGCGAAAGCGUGGGGAGCGAACAGG
rnacentral:rRNA from 1 species